rnacentral:rRNA from 1 species
GUUCGGAUUGAGGUCUGCAACUCGACCUCAUGAAGUCGGAAUCGCUAGUAAUCGCAUAUCAGAACGAUGCGGUGAAUACGUUCCCGGGCCUUGUACACACCGCCCGUCACACCACGAAAGUUUGUUGUACCCGAAGUCGGUGCCUUAACCUCGCAAGAGGAGAGAGCCGCCCAAGGUAUGGCCGAUGAUUGGGGUGAAGUCGUAACAAGGUAGCCGUAGGGGAACCUGCGGCUGGAUCACCUCCUUUCUAGGAGAGAAGGGUCCUGGAUGAAGCGCUCCUAUUUAGUCUUGUGAAGGAUCCGAGUGGAAGCCGGGACCGGAGAAAGACCGGGCCUGUAGCUCAGAUGGUGAGAGCGCACGCCUGAUAAGCGUGAGGUCGAUAGUUCGAAUCUAUCCAGGCCCACCAUCUGCGGGGAUGUAGCUCAGUUGGGAGAGCGCCUG